GCACUCUAUACAUCUUAUACUAUUGCUCACUUGCUUUUACUUGCUAGUCUUGUUUCGCUUAUCCUACGAGAUCUUGGCUAUAUGAUUGGGAGCUUCAGAAAGAGAAUGCAGAGCGUUUUACUGCACUGCUUCAUAUUUUAAGGGAGAGAGAACUCUCCGUUGUUGUGGCUGAAAAAGUAAAUAACUCCUAUGGAGUUCACUACGUUGUGAUGCCGUCCCCUCACAACUUCAAGUUCCUUAUUAAAGCUUUAGUCACCAGGGAAUUUGCUUUAAAUAAACAACUUAUUGCGGAGCCGUCCUCCUCGUCUGGGCAAUAUAAAAACUACGUGCUAAACCAGUUGUCAACUCUUCGAAUAGAUAGCGAGUUCAACCCGCUGGCGUAUUCCUCUUACAUUCCUCCCUUCUCUUUGGAAACAGAACAGCAGAAAAACAGUGAAAUAUUCCAGCUAUUCAUUGAUAGUAAUAAGCCAAAUAAACGGCGACGAGGUAGAAAGCCAACAAUGAUAGAGAAAAACUAAAUUCACACUAUCCACAGUGA